rnacentral:lncRNA from 1 species
CCCAUCCCAGGGCGUAGCAAUGAGGCGAUGGGUGAGCAACAAAUCAGGUGCUGACAUGCCACGCUGAGGUCUAUAUAAGCAGCACCAUUUUCCGGGUUCGGGGGUCUUCCUCCUGACGAAGCAAUAAAGCUUAGCUGUAGAAGAAUCCGGUUGUCCGAGUGUGUUCUUGCUGGCGAGACAUAAGCACGGAGCACGUCUCGUCUUGGCAAAUGAAAGCCUAGCUACAGAACAGCUCAGACAGGAAGCAGACGUGUGCUCUUCCCUCUUUGGAGACCUAACUCUGAAGCCUUCCUGGGAUCCUGUUUCUUCCAUGGAGAGCCUAUUGUUCCUCACAUGGUGCUGGGUACGCAGCAGGUGUUCAGUAAAUAUUUGGUGAAUAAAUGAGCAAGUCAAGCCGAGAGCAGCGCAGGAGUUCACACUGCAAUUCAAACGGGAUGGUGCUGGCUGAAGGGAAGAGUGAGCUACGGCACGGUGUAAGACUGGCUCAAGGCCACGAGCUUGAAACCCUGACUAUUCUCCAUCUUAUUCGUCACGGACAGUCAGUCAUAUUGGGGUGUGACUUGGGAACCAUGCAGCCUGCCCGCCUGAAGCAUGUCUGCCAUCAGCACGGCCUCGUUUUAAUUACCCCUUCCUUAGUCCCCAUGUCCCUUAGUCAUAAUGCCCCAUUGUACUCUGCUCUCUUCUGCAGCCCUAAAACUACUAGUGCAUAUUCUACCUCUGUGGAUCUGUUUAUUCUGGGCAUUUCACCUCAAUGAAAUUACAUAAUGUGACUGGCGCCUUUUACUUAGCAGCCACGUUGCUGCCUACGCCAACACGUGGGUACUUUUUAUGGCUUAAUAUUCUCUUUUAUGACAGUUUUAUUCAUUGGCUGUGGGUUGUUUCUACUUUGGGGCAUUUUAAGUGGAACUGUAAUGAACAAUAGUGUAAGCUUUUGUGUGCAAAUGUCGUCAUUUCUCUUGCCUGUAUGCCUAGGAGUGCAGUUGUUAAAUCAUAUGGUGACUCUAUGUUUACCCAUUUAAGAAACCAACAGUCUGUCUUUCUGAAAGAGGUAUACCAUUUCACAUCCCACCAGCAACAUCCUGUCUAUUUUCAGACGUUCGAACUGUUCCACAAUAAAUUUUUUAAAAAAC